AGUGAACGCUGGCGGUAGGCCUAACACAUGCAAGUCGAACGGCAGCACAGGAGAGCUUGCUCUCUGGGUGGCGAGUGGCGGACGGGUGAGGAAUACAUCGGAAUCUACUCUGUCGUGGGGGAUAACGUAGGGAAACUUACGCUAAUACCGCAUACGACCUACGGGUGAAAGCAGGGGACCUUCGGGCCUUGCGCGAUUGAAUGAGCCGAUGUCGGAUUAGCUAGUUGGCGGGGUAAAGGCCCACCAAGGCGACGAUCCGUAGCUGGUCUGAGAGGAUGAUCAGCCACACUGGAACUGAGACACGGUCCAGACUCCUACGGGAGGCAGCAGUGGGGAAUAUUGGACAAUGGGCGCAAGCUUGAUCCAGCCAUACCGCGUGGGUGAAGAAGGCCUUCGGGUUGUAAAGCCCUUUUGUUGGGGAAGAAAUCCAGCUGGCUAAUACCCGGUUGGGAUGACGGUACCCAAAGAAUAAGCACCGGCUAACUUCGUGCCAGCAGCCGCCGUAA
rnacentral:rRNA from 1 species